UAAUACGAAGGGACCUAGCGUAGUUCGGAAUUACUGGGCUUAAAGAGUUCGUAGGUGGUUAAAAAAGUUGAUGGUGAAAUCCCAGAGCUUAACUCUGGAACUGCCAUCAAAACUUUUUAGCUAGAGUAUGAUAGAGGAAAGCAGAAUUUCUAGUGUAGAGGUGAAAUUCGUAGAUAUUAGAAAGAAUACCAAUUGCGAAGGCAGCUUUCUGGAUCAUUACUGACGCUGAGGAACGAAAGCAUGGGUAGCGAAGAGGAUUAGAUACCCUCGUAGUCCAUGCCGUAAACGAUGUGUGUUAGACGUUGGGAAUUUAUUUUCAGUGUCGCAGUGAAAACAAUAAACACACCGCCUGGGGAGUACGACCGCAAGGUUAAAACUCAAAUGAAUUGACGGGGACCCGCACAAGUAGUGGAGCAUGUGGUUUAAUUCGAAGAUACGCGCAGAACCUUACCAACACUUGACAUGUUCGUCGCGACUCUAAGAGAUUAGAGUUUUCGGUUCGGCCGGACGAAACACAGGUGCUGCAUGGCUGUCGUCAGCUCGUGUCGUGAGAUGUUGGGUUAAGUCCCGCAACGAGCGCAACCCUUACUUUUAGUUGCCAUCAUUUAGUUGGGCACUCUGAAAGAACUGCCAGUGAUAAGCUGGAGGAAGGUGGGGAUGACGUCAAGUCCUCAUGGCCCUUACGUGUUGGGCUACACACGUGCUACAAUGGUAUCUACAACAGGAAGCAAAACAGCGAUGUUAAGCAAAUCCCGAAAAGAUACCUCAGUUCGGAUUGCACUCUGCAACUCGAGUGCAUGAAGCUGGAAUUACUAGUAAUCGUGGAUCAGCGUGCCACGGUGAAUACGUUCCCGGGUCUUGUACACACCGCCCGUCACACCAUGGGAGUUGGUUCUACCUUAAGGCAAAGC
rnacentral:rRNA from 1 species